rnacentral:rRNA from 1 species
GGUGAUCGGCCACACUGGAACUGAGACACGGUCCAGACUCCUACGGGAGGCAGCAGUAGGGAAUCUUCCGCAAUGGGCGAAAGCCUGACGGAGCAACGCCGCGUGAGUGAUGAAGGUCUUCGGAUCGUAAAACUCUGUUAUCAGGGAAGAACAAAUGUGUAAGUAACUGUGCACAUCUUGACGGUACCUGAUCAGAAAGCCACGGCUAACUACGUGCCAGCAGCCGCGGUAAUACGUAGGUGGCAAGCGUUAUCCGGAAUUAUUGGGCGUAAAGCGCGCGUAGGCGGUUUUUUAAGUCUGAUGUGAAAGCCCACGGCUCAACCGUGGAGGGUCAUUGGAAACUGGAAAACUUGAGUGCAGAAGAGGAAAGUGGAAUUCCAUGUGUAGCGGUGAAAUGCGCAGAGAUAUGGAGGAACACCAGUGGCGAAGGCGACUUUCUGGUCUGUAACUGACGCUGAUGUGCGAAAGCGUGGGGAUCAAACAGGAUUAGAUACCCUGGUAGUCCACGCCGUAAACGAUGAGUGCUAAGUGUUAGGGGG